GAUGAACGCUGGCGGCGUGCCUAAUACAUGCAAGUCGAGCGAACGGACGAGAAGCUUGCUUCUCUGAUGUUAGCGGCGGACGGGUGAGUAACACGUGGAUAACCUACCUAUAAGACUGGGAUAACUUCGGGAAACCGGAGCUAAUACCGGAUAAUAUUUUGAACCGCAUGGUUCAAAAGUGAAAGACGGUCUUGCUGUCACUUAUAGAUGGAUCCGCGCUGCAUUAGCUAGUUGGUAAGGUAACGGCUUACCAAGGCAACGAUGCAUAGCCGACCUGAGAGGGUGGUCGGCCACACUGGAACUGAGACACGGUCCAGACUCCUACGGGAGGCAGCAGUAGGGAAUCUUCCGCAAUGGGCGAAAGCCUGACGGAGCAACGCCGCGUGAGUGAUGAAGGUCUUCGGAUCGUAAAACUCUGUUAUUAGGGAAGAACAUAUGUGUAAGUAACUGUGCACAUCUUGACGGUACCUAAUCAGAAAGCCUCGGCUAACUACGUG
rnacentral:rRNA from 1 species